UACGGAGGGUGCAAGCGUUAUCCGGAUUCACUGGGUUUAAAGGGUGCGUAGGUGGGCAAGUAAGUCAGUGGUGAAAUCUCCGGGCUUAACCCGGAAACUGCCAUUGAUACUAUUUGUCUUGAAUACUGUGGAGGUCAGCGGAAUACGUCAUGUAGCGGUGGAAUGCGCAGAUAUCAGGAGGAACACCGAUAGCGAAGGCAGCUCGCUGGGACGGUACUGACGCUGAGGCGCGAAAGCGUGGGGAGCAAACGGG
rnacentral:rRNA from 1 species